ACAAGGAUUCUUCACUAACCUGACAUAGUCAAUGAUGUCAUAAUAAGUUUAUGAAUAUUUGGCAGUGUGAUGCCCAAAGAAAAAUCUUCUCAAUUUUGGACUGGCUAUUCUGCUAGCUAUUCCGUUCUUGGCUCUGUAUCACAUGAUCUGAAUAUAUUGGACACGAUGAACAUCCAGUCGAUGCCUGGUGAUAUAUCCUUCAACCACCUACAGCUGGGCGUCUCACCAAAGAACUGAUUAUCGUUCAUCAAAUUCAAGGCCAAGACACAACCCGAACAGUCCUCGCAGCAAAGCAAUCAUACAUAUUUUAAACCUAAGGGUGGAGAGAUUGUAAUAUUAUGAAAGAUGCAUGCAUAGAACAUCAGAACUCAUAUAUUAU
rnacentral:lncRNA from 1 species